rnacentral:ncRNA from 1 species
GACAAAUCGAAGAAGGACAAGAGUACAUCAUAGCCCAUUCAAAGAGAGAAAUGUCCUUGGCUGGAAGACAUUUUGGAUGAAAGGAUGAUGGAAAGCUGGGUUCUGAGUGCAGCAAUCACUGCCGUCUGCCGCGUUAAGGCGUUUGAGAGGCGAAUUCUUAUGUGAGAAUUGGCAAUCAGGGUGGUACCGCGAACAAGCUUCGUCCCUGUU